rfam:Aedes albopictus isolate Foshan contig90680, whole genome shotgun sequence.
UAGCCUAGUGGUUAAGGCUAUGGAUCGCCAAUCCGGAGACGACGGGUUCGAUUCUCGU